AGUCGUAACAAGGUUUCCGUAGGUGAACCUGCGGAAGGAUCAUUACUGAUUUGCUUAAUUGCACCACAUGUGUUUUUCUUUGAAACAAACUUGCUUUGGCGGUGGGCCCAGCCUGCCGCCAGAGGUCUAAACUUACAACCAAUUUUUUAUCAACUUGUCACACCAGAUUAUUACUAAUAGUCAAAACUUUCAACAACGGAUCUCUUGGUUCUCGCAUCGAUGAAGAACGCAGCGAAAUGCGAUACGUAAUAUGAAUUGCAGAUAUUCGUGAAUCAUCGAAUCUUUGAACGCACAUUGCGCCCUCUGGUAUUCCGGAGGGCAUGCCUGUUUGAGCGUCGUUUCUCCCUCAAACCGCUGGGUUUGGUGUUGAGCAAUACGACUUGGGUUUGCUUGAAAGACGGUAGUGGUAAGGCGGGAUCGCUUUGACAAUGGCUUAGGUCUAACCAAAAACAUUGCUUGCGGCGGUAACGUCUACUACGUAUAUCUUCAAACUUUGACCUCAAAUCAGGUAGGACUACCCGCUGAACCUAAGCAUAUCAAUAA
rnacentral:misc_RNA from 1 species